GGGCACUAGGUGUNGGGGGCCUUUUCCGGUUUUUCCGCGCCGUAGCUAACGCAUUAAGUGCCCCGCNUGGGGAGUACGGCCGCAAGGCUAAAACUCAAAGGAAUUGACGGGGGCCCGCACAAGCGGCGGAGCAUGCGGAUUAAUUCGAUGCAACGCGAAGAACCUUACCAAGGCUUGACAUGUGCCGGUUUGNUCCGGAGACGGGGUUUCCUCCUUGUGGGGUCGGUUCACAGGUGGUGCAUGGUUGUCGUCAGCUCGUGUCGUGAGAUGUUGGGUUAAGUCCCGCAACGAGCGCAACCCUUGUCCCGUGUUGCCAGCACGUUGUGGUGGGGACUCGCGGGAGACUGCCGGGGUCAACUCGGAGGAAGGUGGGGAUGACGUCAAAUCAUCAUGCCCCUUAUGUCUUGGGCUUCACGCAUGCUACAAUGGCCGGUACAGAGGGCUGCGAUACCGUGAGGUGGAGCGAAUCCCUUAAAGCCGGUCUCAGUUCGGAUCGGUGUCUGCAACUCGACACCGUGAAGUUGGAGUCGCUAGUAAUCGCAGAUCAGCAACGCUGCGGUGAAUACGUUCUCGGGCCUUGUACACACCGCCCGUCACGUCAUGAAAGUCGGCAACACCCGAAGCCCGUGGCCUUAUGGGG
rnacentral:rRNA from 1 species